GGGGUGCUGUAGGGCACGUUUCCAUAUUUCACGCCGCCUGGGAAGAGGCUGUGCCUGGAAAGACACGGGACAGAGAGACAGAGGGACGCAGCAGCAAAAGCAGCUACGGAUUCCUAACCAUAGGCCAGGCACGGCAGCUCAUGCCUGGAAUCCCAGCAUUUUGGGAGGCCGAGGCGGGCGAGAUCACCUGGAUCUCAGGAGUUCGAGACCAGCCUGGCCAACAUGGUGAGACCUUGUCUCUACUAAAAAUACAAAGAUUAGCCAGGCGUGGUGGCACGUGCCUGUAGUCCCAGCUACUCAGGAGGCUGAGGCAGGAGAAUUGCUUGAACCCAGGAGGUGGAGGUUGCAGUGAGCCGAGAUCGCACCACUGCACUCCAGUCUGGUGACAGAGCGAGACUCCAUCUCAAAACAAACAAACAAAAAACAAAACAAGUCCUAACCGCAUGAAGCACGUUUGCACCCCCCUUCCAGCUGCUCCUGAGGCCCACCCACACCUGACCUCCUGAGGAGUUCUUUGUUCAGCCUUCCUCCAAUUGGACAACCUCCAGGAUCCUUCCAGUGUGGCCCUUUUUCUGCCCAAGUCAGUUGAAGUUAAAGUUGGGUGUCUGCCAUUUGCAGCAACAGCAAAAAAGGAACAUUCAGAGACACGGGUGUCUGGAAGCUCGUUCACCUGUGGGUUCUCCAUAACCUGAGAUAAAUGCUGGAGUUCAGGGCAGCUCAGGAAAUAUUUGAUGUAUAAACAAAGAAAAGGACAGCUUGGUUCCUGACAGCUGUGGGUGCCAGACCCCUCAAGUCUGUCUCCUGACCUGAGCAGGCAGUUCGUGGCCUCAGCCCUGAGUGAGGGGCCGCCAGGAGCCUGGGGAGGGAGGAUCAGGGCUCGAGGCCCAGGAGCUGGAGAACUGGGUCGCAUCCCCCUUCUGUGGCUCCCUCAGCUCUGGUAGGUGAUAGUGGCAUUCCAGACAGCAUUCUUCCAGUAAGAUGUGGCCUGUGGCAGAAAACUCAGCUUACGCAGUGAGGGAAUGCAAUGAACCGUGCAUCUGUGAAGUCCAUGAGCAGCGUCAGCUUCAAGUAUGGAUGCAUCCAGAGGCUACCGGUGUCCUCCGGUCUUUGUCUCUCUGUGUCUUUGCCCACCAUCCUCCAUGCGAGCACACAAAAACCCAAGCCUACACCUCCUGCCCCAAGACCUGAGGGAAGGAGGGAACUUUAUUCCACUCACUGCCAUCGAGGUCCUGGGCCAUGCCCCAAGACUGGGCCAAUCGUGGGGCAAAGAGGAACGGGGUGCUCCCACUGGCAACGCCUAAGGGACACACUCACACCUGGACCCAAGGAUGGAGUUGAACCUCCCUAACUUCAUGGGCGGAACACAGGAGAGCAGCGUUUCCCAGAGGAAAAUGGGAAACUGUUGCCAAAGGCAGGGCAUGGUACACAGUGCUACUGCCCACCACGUAGCCACCCGCGCCUCCUCUGUCCUGCUCAGAGAACCCCAGUUUUGUUCCAAUAAGAGGCAGAAACCUCUUGGUCUCAGGAAAGAUAGACUCCAUCCCCCAGCCUUGUGAUGAAUUCUAUUUGGGUUGAGACAGUCACAGUAAAUCCAUCCCCUUUGCCUGAUUUCCACUUUCCCAGCUUCCUUCACCACAAGCAAUGCCAUGAGACACUCUUCUGGUCAAUGAGAUUUGAGAAGCCAGGUGGGAGCUCUGGCUGCUACACCACUGCUUACUUGCCUCUCUGCACAGGGUGCUGGAAUGUGGACAUGAUGCCUGGAGCUGCAGCAGCCUUGUUGGGUCAAUAAGACAUCAAGUAGGAGAAACAAAAGCCAACACUGCUAGUAAUAUUCUAUUUCCUGAUUGUUACAUUUGUAACAUGUAACACACAACAUUUUGUGAGAAUUCAAGGAGCUGUGCAUUUUUCUGUUAGUGUGUUAUACCUCACCAAAACAGUUAGGUAAAAAUCUAACACCCUGAGGAUGGCAGAGCAAACCCCUGAAAACAUGGGUGAACUGGUUAACCAGCCUCAAAUACUGUAACUCGGAGCUUCUGAUUAAGAGAAUCAAAAGCCUUUGUUGCUUAAUUACUAGGUUUUCUAAUACUUGCAGCUGAAUGCAUUCUUGAUUAACCCAAAGAAUGACUGGAAGCUGGGUGGCAAAAUACUAAGGUGCGCUCUUCAGGAAAUCCCCACAGCAUAAGGCUGACCAUGAAGAGCAAAGUGCCCUCCCCCUUCCUGCUGACGGGUGAACCGCCCAGCACAAGGGCGCUCAGCCCUGAGAGCCAUGCCUUCCCCAUUCUCAGCUUCAGCAGGGAACUUGCCAUUGCUGGACAGAAACUCCACUCCAGAUGUCUCCCAGCCUUAGUCUUGUUCCAGAGAUGCUGAGAUUCAAAAGGCCCCCUGGGCAAGCACCCAGAAGGAACUCCUGUGCCUGGGGACACCUGUGACCGGGACACCUGUGCCUGGGGACACCUGUGACCGGGAACACCUGUGCCUGGAGACACCUGUGACCGGGGACAGCUGUGACUGGGACACCUGUGACCAGGACACCUGUGCCUGGGGACACCUGUGACCAUGGGUGCCUGUGACCAGGGACACCUAUGCCUGGGGACACCUGUGACCGGAGACACCUGUGACCGGGGACACCUGUGCCUGGGGACACCUGUGACCUGGGACACCUGUGACCGGGGACACCUGUGACCAGGGACACCUGUGCCUGGAGACACCUGUGACCAGGGACACCUGUGACCGGGGACACCUGUGACCUGGGACGCCUGUGCCUGGAGACACCUGUGCCUGGGACACCUGUGCCUGGGGACAUCUGUGACCAGGGACACCUGUGCCUGGGGACGCCUGUGACCUGGGACACCUGUGACUGGGGACACCUGUGCCUGGAGACACCUGUGACUGGGACACCUGUGCCUGGGUUACCUAUGAUCAGGAACACCCUGUGCCUGGGGUCACCUAUUACCAGGAACACUGUGACCAGUGACAUCCGUUCUGGGGACACCUGGACUCAGUCGUGAACAACCCCAGGCCAGCCGUGCAGGGAGGUCGGGCUUCCUCCAUGGCACGGUGGAAGGAGAAAGCUGGGUGAGGACCAGGCCUCAAGGACUGAGGCCGGGAUUGGAGCUUUGCCAGAGCCCGGAGCAGCUCCAGGUCCAGGCUCCUCCCUAAGAGCUGAAGGCCUUGAGCAACUGGCAAUUCAUUCUCACCUCGGGGUAAUGGGAUUACAAAAACAAAAUCCUUCCAUGUAGGGGCUGUCAUCGUAGUAAAUGAAAUAAAAAGACAAGCAACCCA